UCAUCAUCUGCCUCCAUCUCACCCUGUCCUAAACGUUUUCCUCUGUCACACCAACCUUCUGCAUCUCCUCCAUCACUCCAUCGAUGAACCUCAUCUGUGGUCUUUGUAUCCGCAUGUGUCAAAGAUUUUAUGCCGGAUGCUCUUCCUGACGUACUUCUGCCCUUUUAUCUGGGUGUAGCACUGACACUAGGAGUACACUGGCUUGUGGCCGCUCCUGUGGAUGGCUUGAAUGAAUUUGGACAAAACAUAAAAAAGCAAACUAAAAAGGCUGAAGACACUGUUGGCGACUGGACUGAAAGUGGAAAAAUCAGUGAAUGAUGGAAAAUUUCUCUAACAUUAAAUCCUCUGUCUUUUGCGCAUGCUAAGGAAAUCGCAUACCCGCAUGCACAUACCCCAGCAAAAUGCGGCACAUCUUGCUACAAACCCUUUUGGACUUAAAAAGACAAAAAACAACAGCAAAAAAAAUCCAAGGAGCUGACAGGAGAAAAAAAUGCUGCUGUGUGGGGAGGUAUUUGCUGGAAAGGAGCUCAAGAAAGUGUCAACACUUUUAAUGGCCAGACAGGACUUGGACAGCUUUGUAAAAGCAGUCAAAAACAGUGUGACACUAUGUGCGAGGAGACAGACAGAAAACUGAAAGAAAAGGAGAAGUAAGCCUGGACCUUAAAAGAAAAUCUGAGCAUCCAGCAGAGUGAGAGUGAGAAGGUCAAAAAACACCAAGCGACAGAGUGCAAACAAGGCAGUGAGGUGAAGCUGUCACUAAACACAACAGCAAAGCUGGCGGGGGGGGGGUGACCAUUGAGUUUAAAACUCUGUAGGAACACUGUGGAAAAACUUCAUCCAAGACAGCUGAAAUUUCAAACUUGAAAUGAUGGCACUGGUAUGAAAACAUUUGGCCAAGCUGAAAACAAUUAAGCCGAAACACCACCAGAGCAAAACAGAAUGCCAGAAAAAUUUCAAAGCUCUGGAGGACUGUCUCAGAUGUGAGCUGGCAGCAAGGGAGACCUGCUUCAAAAGAAAGAAAGAAAGCGAAAAAGCUUCAGAAACAGAGAAGAGACAAUAAAGAGAAGCGGCUUUCCAUGGUGAGGAGUUUGUCAACAUGGUGAGAAAGCUGGAGGAGGAGAUCAGGCUCACGAGCCAUGCAAAACGCUGAGCUAAUGCCAUUUUACCUAAUCGUUUGAGUUACAUGAUAAUAUGAUGGAUUGUAGGAUUUUUUUCUUUUCAAAAUGAAAAUAAAAUGCUUUGUGUGUCUUUUUAUGAGCUUACCUUAAAAACUGACGAAGGCAAAGCCGAGAUGAAAAGGGAGAAGGCUAGAGAUGGAAGUAGUAGAGAAACAAGAGAUUAAGAAAGCAUGAACAUAAAGUGAAAACAGUUGAAGAAAGAGCAAAAUAAUAGGAAUACUACAAGAGAAAAAGAAGGGGAGAGACAGAACAAAAAAUAAGGAGAGAUAUAAAAGAAAAGAAGGAGGAAAGCAGAAAGACAGAAAAGUAAGUCUCCCUUCUUAAACCCCACUUUCCCUUUUACCUAGUAAAUGCAGUUAGGUCCAUAUAUAUUUGGACAGAGAAAACAUUUUAUUUAUAAUUUUGGUUCUGCACAUUACUCCAAAGAAUUUUAAACGAAACCACUCAGAUGCAGUUGAAGUGCAGACUUUCAGCUUUAAUUCAGUGGGUUGAAUAAGAGAUUGCUGGCAAUGACAGCCUGACGUCUUGAACUCAUGGACAUCACCAGAUGCUGGGUUUCCUCCAAUUUAACGCUCUGCCAGGCCUUUACUGCAGCAGCUUGUUUGUGGGCCUUUCUGUCUGAAGUUUAGUCUUUAUCAAGUGAAAUGCAGCUCAAUUGGGUUAAGAUCAGGGGACUGGCUUGGCCAUUGAAGAAUAUUCCACUUCUUUGCUUUAAUAAACUCCUGGGUUGCUUUGGCUAUAUGUUUUGGGUCAUUGUCCAUCUGUAUUAUGACACCCAAUCAAUUUGACUGCAUUUAGCUGGAGCUAAGCUUUGAGCAUGUCUUUGUACGUGUCUCUGAACACCUCAGA